CUGUAGUGAUAACAGUCUUAGGACAGGCUUGGGUUAACCAUGAAAUAGACCAUGUUCUGAGGCAGG